rnacentral:rRNA from 1 species
ACAGCUCAAAUUUGAAAUCUGGCGCCUCCGGCGUCCGAGUUGUAAUUUGUAGAGGAUGCUAUUGGGUUGCCACCGGUCUAAGUUCCUUGGAACAGGACGUCACAGAGGGUGAGAAUCCCGUAUGUGACCGGCCAGGCGCUCUCUGUAUAGCUCCUUCGACGAGUCGGGUUGUUUGGGAAUGCAGCCCUAAAUGGGAGGUAAAUUUCUUCUAAAGCUAAAUACCGGCCAGAGACCGAUAGCGCACAAGUAGAGUGAUCGAAAGAUGAAAAGCACUUUGGAAAGAGAGUUAAAAAGCACGUGAAAUUGUUGAAAGGGAAGCGCUUGCAAUCAGUCUCGACGGCGGCUGUUCGGCCCCUCUUCUGAGUGGUUUAUUCAGUCGCCGCCGGGCCAGCAUCAGUUUCGGCGGCCGGAUAAAGGCGCGGGGAAUGUAGCUCCCUCGGGAGUGUUAUAGCCCCGCGUGCAAUACGGCCCGCCGGGACUGAGGUCCGCGCUUCGGCUAGGAUGCUGGCGAAAUGGUUGUAAGCGGCCCGUCUUGAAACACGGACCAAGGAGUCUAACAUCUACGCGAGUGUUUGGGUGUCAAACCCGUGCGCGCAAUGAAAGUGAACGGAGGUGGGAACCGCAAGGUGCACCAUCGACCGAUCCUGAUGUCUUCGGAUGGAUUUGAGUAAGAGCGUAGCUGUUGGGACCCGAAAGAUGGUGAACUAUGCCUGAAUAGGGUGAAGCCAGAGGAAACUCUGGUGGAGGCUCGCAGCGGUUCUGACGUGCAAAUCGAUCGUCAAAUUUGGGUAUAGGGGCGAAAGACUAAU